CUAAGAAAGACACCCAAAUCUGUACUGCGUAGUUCUCUCCCUUGGCAUACAUACUGUAACUGUACCGACCGAAGCUCAAAAUGCUAAACCCUUGCAGAACCCUAAUCUAAUCCUUUUACCAGAAGGACAAAAACUGAAAGAAUCUGAACAACAAGCUCACAGAAGAUGGGGAAACUACCACCUUCCUUAAGGUCAGCUAACUUUGCUGUAAACACUCUCAUUAAAACUCCAUCUUCUUCUGUUCCUCACUCAAAAAUCCCAUCUCCAUCCCCUCCGUCUACUUCAAAACCCCAUUAUUUUCCCAAAAAAUCACUAUCACCCAAGAGAAAACCCACAUCAAAUAAUCAACAACCCCAGCUUCCAUCUAUUGUAGCCUUUGAUUCAACUACUCUUUCUGAUGCUAAAACCCUUUUCAAUUCCCUCAUUUCCAAUCCCAAAAAUGUACCUUCAGACCCUAAAUUUUAUAAUUCAAUCCUCCAGUCAUUUUCCUCCAAUUCUACCCUCCAAGAUUCAAUCUUUUUCCUUAAUCACAUGAUCAAGACUCACCCACCCUUUUCUCCAGACAGAUUUACAUAUCAUGUUCUCCUCAUUCAAUCUUGCAAGUCAGUUGACCAUUCUCUGUCCCCUGUUCAUCAGGUUCUCAAUCUCAUGACUUCCAAUGGUUUCCCUCCAAAUAAGGUCUCCACAGACAUUGCUGUGAGGACCCUUUGCUCUUCGAACCACGAAGAGCAAGCCAUUGAGCUGGUCAAAGAACUUUCCUCCAAAGACUCUCCACCUGAUACCUAUACUUACAAUUUUAUUGUCAGGCACCUAUGCAAGAACAGGUCUUUGAGUAAUAUGAAUAGUUUUAUUAAAGAAAUGAGGGAUGGUUUUGAUAUAAAGCCUGAUCUUGUUACUUAUACAAUUAUGAUUGAUAAUGUUUGUAACAGUAAGAAUCUCAGGGAGGCGACUAGAUUGUUGGGGGUGUUGAGCGAGGAAGGAUAUAAGCCUGAUUGCUAUGUUUAUAAUACAAUUAUGAAGGGUUAUUGUAUGUUAAGUCAAGGGGGUGAAGUGUUAAGUGUAUACAAGAAAAUGCAGGAGGAAGGAGUGAAGCCUGACCUUGUGACUUAUAAUACAUUGAUCUAUGGAUUGUCGAAGUCAGGAAGGGUGAAAGAUGCUAAGAAGUUUUUGAGUGUUAUGAUGGAGGAGGGCCAUAUUCCGGAUGCAGUAACGUAUACUUCGUUAAUGAAUGGGAUGUGUAGGGAAGGAGAUCCAUUAGGAGCGUUGGCUUUGUUGGAGAGAAUGGAAGCACGGGGCUGUGCUCCUAAUUCAUGUACAUAUAAUACAUUGCUUCAUGGGUUAUGUAAGGCAAGGUUGUUGGAUAAGGGGAUGGAACUGUAUGAUGUUAUGAAGAAGAAUGGUAUGAAGCUUGAGACGGGGUCAUAUGGGACGUUUCUCAGAGCGCUCUGUAGGAAUGGCAGAGUAGCAGAAGCUUAUGAAGUUUUUGAUUAUGCAGUAGAGAGCAAGAGUUUGACAGAUGUUGCUGCUUAUACUACGUUGGAGAGCACGUUGAAGUGGCUUAAGAAAGCUAGAGAACAGGGUCUUGUCAUUUGACCUCCAUUGCUGUGGCUCUCUGCAUAAAUUAGCUUGGCCUGACAUGAAUGGAGAAAGUCUGAUUGAAUGAACGCGUGAGAAAGUCUGAUUGAAUGAACGCGUUGCCUACUGCUCUCUCCCUUUUCCAUCAAAGCAUCCGUCGUAAUAGCCAUUCUUGGUGGCCAUGGUGGACUAAUGCAGUGUAUCAAAUCUUCCAUUGUGCCAUGGAUAGAUCUGAAGCAAAGAGAAUAGAUCUGAAGCGAAAAGGGGGUAGGCGAAUAGAUCUGGCCAUGACUACAGAUUGAGCUUUUGAAAUCUGAAGCAUAAACGCCGGAGAAUAUUUGAGAGCCGGGUUUUUGUUCAUCUCCAUUUUUAUUUAAUACAAUGUAUACAUUAUUUUGCUUGGCCGGAAAACGCCAUCUUCGGCGAACUUUCUUCUCUUGUUUGCUAUUAAGUCACAUACAAUGAUAUAAAUACGUUAUAUUUUGUACAAAUGCACUCACAUACAUUGUAUUUUUGUAUAAAUACAUUAUAUUUUUCGCAUGUAUUUAUGUAUUCCGAAGGUUUGUAUUUUUUUGAAUACCGCGGAAUAUCACUGUUUUUGUGAUCUUUU